GAAGAGCUUGUCAUCAAGUCAGCCAACUAAGGCUUUAGUUCCACUUCUUCUCUGGGCGCCUAGAAAACAGAUUGGCUAAUCUCUAAGACCACAGUAAUCAUGGGAGUGUAUGUUGGGAUGGAGAAACCAAAAAAUCUAAGCAGUGUGGAAAACUGUGCCAACACGUGGAGAACAGCAACCCUGCCCAGUCUUCCAGAUCUGCUAAAGACUUUGAGUAAAAGGGAGGAAUCUCACAUUAUCCAAAUGCAAGAAUUAGAGGAGCCAUGCUCUGAGCAAUAUGUGGGUCUCAGAGACCCAGAUGUCCCACAUACAGUCUUAUCCCAAGUCUCUGAAGAAAUCAGGAUUUGAAUACAGACUGCCUUGCUCAAUGGUAAGCAGCCAUUAGAAGACUAUGAUACUGGGUAAUGAUUGUUUCCUACAUAACAUUUUAUUGGGGACAAGAGGAAGAGAAUGAGUAUUAUUGGCUAAGGCAGGAUGUGCCAAUCUCUUAUUUAAAAGGAAAGGUUAACAGUGUUUUGUGACUGUGAUUCUAAUGAGACAUAUCGAGAAGCGGAUGUUUCCAUACAAAAUGCUGUCCAGUGUUCUUAUCUUUGUAAGACCUGUGUAUUACAAUUUCAACUUGUUUCAGUCAUCCUUGUCGAGGAGAAAGCCAGACUAGUUGAAAUCAUCAAAUUACUGUAAUUGUGACUUUAUACUAAUCCGGUAAUUAUCCCCUGAAUUCAGUUUCAACACUGAAUAUUUAUAUCUCUAUUAGGGGCAGAGAGAAUUGAAAAAAAUAUUGAGUAUUGCAAAUCAUAAUCUCAGGAAUUUGGACUGAUACAAAGGCAUUACCUUUCCAUCUUAGAAAACUAGUUUGCUCUUUUUAAGCUCUCUGGAAGUGAUGAAAGCUGACUCUCAGCAGGUGCCCUAACAAGUAGAUCCCUGGGAAAAAUCAGCGAAUUUCUACUACAACAGACCUUUUAUUCAAGACAUACAAACUUCCAGUUAUAAAAUAAAUAAGUCACGAGGAUAUAAAAUAUAGCACAGAGAGUAUAGUCAAUAAUACUGUAGUAACUUGGUAUGGUGACAGUUCGUAAGUACACUUAUCGUGGUGAGCAUUGUGAAAUGUAUGGAAAUGUUGUAAUGAUUGGUUUUACUUUUGUAAACCCGCUUUUAGAUUCAGCAAUGCCUGCAAGGUCUGGAAACAACCCAUUGUUGGUGUGGGCUGAAGCAGGAAUACCCACAGAGGUCAGCACACACGGCGGUGUUGCCUGACCGUUCCCCUCUAGGCACCUUCCGGUUACUCUGAGCCCACCUUGCAUGGGCAGCCAGGAGUCCUCCUACCUUGGUCCCUCUUUCUGCUGCUUCUUCCAGCCUGUCCCCUCAGUUUCACCCCUCUGAUGACCCAAAAGGCCACCCAGUGUGGCCCACAUGACAAGUUUUCAUCCCUUGUAUUACAACUUCCACUUUGCCCAGAAUCCUUCUUCCAUCCAGAGUGGCACCGCUACAAGAUGGGCACCUAUCUCUCUUGCUGAUAUUGAUCAGUCCUCACAGGUGUCCCUUGAUUUUUCCUUAUGAGUAACUGUUGUAGUUUGGUGAAGUGAUUGUCAAGCUUUAUUUUAGCACCUAAGUUUCCCCCUUGAAUAAAAACAGCGAAGCAGUCCCUCUAUGUGAAAUAGAAAAAUAGACGCAUACGUUGCUCCUAGAGAAGUGGGGCUGGGGCGCAGGGGCCGUCUCAGCUGGUCUUCACAGCUCCCUUCUCAGCUAAGGCACUCCAGAGCCUGGAGCUUCCUGUUCAGUAUUCCUGGUGAAUCACUCGUCUAGUUCAACCUGUCUACUUUAUGAAGAACUUAGGCCCAGAGAGUUAUAGGUGCAAAUUCAAAGCUUCAUUGCUUGUUUCUGACAGAGCCAAGAUUUGAACUGGCCUGCUGCUCUUUCCCCAGUAGCCCUCCCAACCAUCCUGGCCAGAUGUCCAGCGGGUGUUUUUAACAACUCGAAGCAAGUAGGCAUUUUCCCUAGGAUCGGUCUGAACUACUUGCUUUUAUCAUUGUUGAUGAACUAAAAAGCGCUCCAAAGAGCCACCGCAUCCAAGCUGGUGAUGUGCAGCCUCUCACAC